UGGUUCAGUUGGUUGAGCGUCUGACUUCGGCUCAGGUCCUGAUCUUACGGUUCAUGGGUUCAAGUCCCAU
rnacentral:tRNA from 1 species